GCUGGGAUGGCAGAUCGGUUAUGCCCUCGCCUGCAGAGCGAGUCAGGGGGGUUCAACUCCCUCUCCCAGCU
rnacentral:tRNA from 1 species